UUGAACGCUGGCGGCAGGCUUAACACAUGCAAGUCGAGCGGUAGCACAGGGGAGCUUGCUCCCUGGGUGACGAGCGGCGGACGGGUGAGUAAUGUCUGGGAAACUGCCUGAUGGAGGGGGAUAACUACUGGAAACGGUAGCUAAUACCGCAUAACGUCGCAAGACCAAAGAGGGGGACCUUCGGGCCUCUUGCCAUCAGAUGUGCCCAGAUGGGAUUAGCUAGUAGGUGGGGUAAUGGCUCACCUAGGCGACGAUCCCUAGCUGGUCUGAGAGGAUGACCAGCCACACUGGAACUGAGACACGGUCCAGACUCCUACGGGAGGCAGCAGUGGGGAAUAUUGCACAAUGGGCGCAAGCCCGAUGCAGCCAUGCCGCGUGUGUGAAGAAGGCCUUCGGGUUGUAAAGCACUUUCAGCGAGGAGGAAGGUGGUGAGCUUAAUACGUUCAUCAAUUGACGUUACUCGCAGAAGAAGCACCGGCUAACUCCGUG
rnacentral:rRNA from 1 species